rnacentral:rRNA from 1 species
CGGGGGACGAUAACGGCGUCGAGCGGCGGACGGGUGAGUAAUGCCUAGGAAAUUGCCCUGAUGUGGGGGAUAACCAUUGGAAACGAUGGCUAAUACCGCAUGAUGCCUACGGGCCAAAGAGGGGGACCUUCGGGCCUCUCGCGUCAGGAUAUGCCUAGGUGGGAUUAGCUAGUUGGUGAGGUAAGGGCUCACCAAGGCGACGAUCCCUAGCUGGUCUGAGAGGAUGAUCAGCCACACUGGAACUGAGACACGGUCCAGACUCCUACGGGAGGCAGCAGUGGGGAAUAUUGCACAAUGGGCGCAAGCCUGAUGCAGCCAUGCCGCGUGUGUGAAGAAGGCCUUCGGGUUGUAAAGCACUUUCAGUCGUGAGGAAGGUGGUGUCGUUAAUAGCGGCAUUACUUGACGUUAGCGACAGAAGAAGCACCGGCUAACUCCGUGCCAGCAGCCGCGGUAAUACGGAGGGUGCGAGCGUUAAUCGGAAUUACUGGGCGUAAAGCGCAUGCAGGUGGUUUGUUAAGUCAGAUGUGAAAGCCCGGGGCUCAACCUCGGAAUAGCAUUUGAAACUGGCAGACUAGAGUACUGUAGAGGGGGGUAGAAUUUCAGGUGUAGCGGUGAAAUGCGUAGAGAUCUGAAGGAAUACCGGUGGCGA